AUUGAACGCUGGCGGCAGGCCUAAAACAUGCAAGUCGAACGAGUGGCGGACGGGUGAGUAAUGUCUGGGAAACUGCCUGCUUGAGGGGGAUAACUACUGGAAACGGUAGCUAAUACCGCAUACCAUCGGAUGUGCCCAGAUGGGAUUAGCCAGUAGGUGGGGUAAAGGCUCACCUAGGCGACGAUCCCUAGCUGGUCGUAGAGGAUGACCAGCCACACUGUAACUGAGACACGGUCCAGACGCCUACGGGAGGCAGCAGUGGGGAAUAUGGCACAAUGGGCGCAAGCCUGAUGCAGCCAUGCCGCGUGUAUGAAGAAGGCCUUCGGGUUGUAAAGUACUUGCAGCGGGGAGGCGUUACCCGCAGAAGAAGCACCGGCUAACUCCGUGCCAGCAGCCGCGGUAAUUC
rnacentral:rRNA from 1 species